GCGGUGAUGGAGUUCGCCCAAUCGCCUUUUUAGGCUGAUAACUCCUGCAAA
rnacentral:ncRNA from 1 species